GAAAAGAUUAUUAUUAUUAUUUACAAUUAUAUAUUAUUAUAUUAUUUAAUAUUAAUUAUGAAGCGUAAUCAUAAUCGUGAAUUGUUAAAAAAAUAAAAUAUUGAGGUAUAUGCCUAUAAUAACGUCCUUCAUUAGAGAACAAUUUUCAUAUCUAUAUAUAUAACAUUAUAUUAAAUAUGAAAACUUAAGGUAAUGCCAGUUCAAGAUGUACUUUCAAAUUAAAUGUCAAGACUAAAUUCUUAUAAAUUGUAUCUAAACAGGCUUAGCUGGGCAAGUCGAAAAUAUUUGGUAUCAUUUCAUCAAGAUGGCAUAUUUAUAGACAGGUUAUAGUGGCAAGUGAAAGAACAGUUAAUUCUAUAAACAAGGCAACAGUGGUUCUUCACAAUUUUAUUAAAAAUAAAGAGAUAGAAUCUGGUAUUAAAUUUCUAUCUUUGGUAAAUAUUUUAAAACUAAUAUAAUUUAGGUAUAGUCUUACCAUCAGUCGCUAGUCGACAUAGAAUACAAAUCUUCAAAAUUAUGGUCUAAUGCCAGUUUCAAGAAUUGGUUCCAAUUUUUAUGAUAGAGAGGCAAAGGAAAUAAGGCCCAAUUGAAAUAUGCUUUAAUACAGAAGGAGAAGUACUGUUCCAGUACAACUAUAUAUGACAAGACAGUUUAAUAAUAUCUUAACAAUAUUAUUUAUAAAAUUUGAAUAUAAUGAAAAAAAAUUAUUUUUAACAAUAUAUGUAAAAUAUUAU